rnacentral:pre_miRNA from 11 species
AAAGACUGCAUGUUAUUUGAUACGAAGGGUAGGCUUUGACUGGUGGCAAUUUUUCAUCUAUGCCUCGAAAUAUGGCAGAAAUAUUGCACUCGUCCCGGCCUGUCUUUUGUAUUCACAUUCGACGAUAUGUAAC